rnacentral:tRNA from 1 species
GGGCCCGUAGCUCAGCUUGGUAGAACUUUUCAAAGCAGGGGAUUUCGCUUUGCCAAAAGCGACCGGCUCAUAACCGGUCGGUCGAGGGUUCAAAUCCCUCCGGGCCCA